rnacentral:rRNA from 1 species
AUUGAACGCUGGCGGAAUGCUUUACACAUGCAAGUCGAACGGCAGCACGGACUUCGGUCUGGUGGCGAGUGGCUAACGGGUGAGUAAUGUAUCGGAACGUGCCCAGUCGUGGGGGAUAACGUAGUGAAAAUUACGCUAAUACCGCAUACGAUCUAUGGAUGAAAGCGGGGGAUCGCACGACCUCGCGCGAUUAGAGCGGCCGAUAUUAGAUUAGGUAGUUGGUGGGGUAAAGGCCCACCAAGCCAACGAUCUGUAGCUGGUCUGAGAGGACGACCAGCCACACUGGAACUGAGACACGGUCCAGACUCCUACGGGAGGCAGCAGUGGGGAAUUUUGGACAAUGGGCGAAAGCCUGAUCCAGCCAUUCCGCGUGCAGGAUGAAGGCCCUCGGGUUGUAAACUGCUUUUGUACAGAACGAAAAGGUUUCUACUAAUACUAGGAGCUCAUGACGGUACUGUAAGAAUAAGCACCGGCUAACUACGUGCCAGCAGCCGCGGUAA